rnacentral:rRNA from 1 species
UACGUAGGGGGCAAGCGUUGUCCGGAAUCAUUGGGCGUAAAGCGCGUGUAGGCGGUUCGGUAAGUCUGCUGUGAAAGUCCAGGGCUCAACCCUGGGAUGCCGGUGGAUACUGUCGGACUAGAGUACGGAAGAGGCGAGUGGAAUUCCCGGUGUAGCGGUGAAAUGCGCAGAUAUCGGGAGGAACACCAAUGGCGAAGGCGGCUCACUGGACCGGAACUGACGCUGAGGCGCGAAAGCGUGGGGAGCAAACAGG